rnacentral:lncRNA from 1 species
CAAAAACACAACAACUUCUCCAAUCAUAAAAUACCGCUCCUUCCAUAUUGAUUGUGCUUUGGCAACUAGAUGCAGUGCUAGGCUUCACUCUGCAAGGUGUUUAAAAAGAAAAACAGGUUUACCCGGGAUUUAUCAUGUAUGGAAAAAUGUAAUAGCUAAGUAGGCUGUCUGCUAAUGUCUGGCAUAAUGUUUCUUCAUAAUGGUUAACCCUUUUGCAGGGAGUGGAAUAAGAGUGCCUCUCUCUCUAGAUGGGAACUUUGCUCCAUGGGACAUUACAAUCCAUGUGGCUAACGGCCUGACAUAUGGUGUGCGAAGCAGCUUGAGAUGGCACCUUAGGCGUGCCCUGCGGCCAUUACCAUAUUAGAGGCCCCCGCGCGCUCAGCCGGCGCUCAGCGCGCCGCAGCCCGACCCGGAGCUGUCCGUGGUGCUGAAGCGGGGCGGAUCUGAGCUGUCGAUGGUGCUGAAACGACUUGCCUGUAGCUGUCCGUGGUGCUGAAGCGGGGAGACCUUCAGCCUCGCCGCCCGAGCACGCCGUCUCCACUGUCCCUCCCCAAGAACUACACACUCGGAAGUCUUUUCCUGCUGGAGACUGUAUGCCUUAAGGCAGAAAAAAAAGCAUAAAGGUAGCUGGAAAAGUAAAUUGCCAGAAGCGAAGAGCACCCUCGCUUUCAAAAUCCUGUGGAUGGGGGUUCUGCACGGGGCAUUUCUGUAAGAAAUUAGCGGUACCGAGACACAGGUUCGAAAGAGAGCCGUGCACGACGAUAGUCACUGCUUCCUCGAGCAGAAAUCUCUCUGAAGCCCAGCACAGCAGCCUCGAGCACGCAGUUCGCUUUCAGACAGACACAGCUUUCGCCUCCUCUCCCAUCUCUCCUCUAUUUUCCCCCUCUCCUCUCUCUCUGCUCCUCGUAGAGCAGCGCUUUAAUAAAGUCACAUAAGUGAUUGAAAUUAACAUAAAUCAUUAUUAGUUAUUAGGAUUUGCUCUAAAUUACUCCGUGAAUAUAACACCAAACCCCAUCUGCCACUCCUGCUCUAGCGGCAAUAGAUUGCAGAUAAAAUAAAUGUCCUUACCCCAUUAGAAUGUUCCUGUCU